UCACACCCACGCCAUUCACUAGGAAACUUCUGUUUCCUGCUUCUGAGCAACCUCAGCAGAGCUCAGCUAUUUUCCCAUCCCCCACCCCACCAGUCUCACAUCACAGCUCAGAGCAGUGAAUUUGAAGAAGAUAAAAUUUACUUCUGGGUGAUAAAGGCAAGCAUGUCUCUCUCUGGGGUGCUGAAGCUGCUCAUGGUCUCCACAUGGCUGGGAUCCAGUAUUGCCCAGAAGGUAACUCAAGCCCAGCCGCCAGUGUCAGUGGAGGAGAUGGAGACUGUGAUCCUGCGAUGCACCUAUGACACCAGUGUUACAAGUUACAGUCUCUUCUGGUACAAGCAGCCCAGCAGUGGGGAGAUGGUCUUACUCCUUCGCCAGAACUCUUACGACACACAGAAUGCAACAGCAGGUCACUACUCCUCUCAUUUCCAGAAAGCUCACAAGUCCAUCCACCUUAUCAUCUCGGCUUCACAGCCAGAAGACUCAGCAGUGUAUUUCUGUGCACUGAGUGAUCCACAGUGUAAAGAUUGUUUGGGGGAGGAGUACAAAAACCCCCAGGCCUGACUGAGACAGCCACCUGCUGCAGAGGCCAAGGAAGCAAGUCACCACCUCCCACAGGAAGUAGCUAGGACUGGGGCAGCACAGGGUAGUGUUAGAGGGAGAUGCUUUCUUGAGCAAGCCCCUCUCUGGGCUCAUGGCCGUAUCUACAGGCAUCAAUAAUUACAGACAUCCACAUCCAUGAAGCUGUAGCUGUAAGUUAGUGACAGA